rnacentral:rRNA from 1 species
AACAAACGCUGGCGGCGUGCCUAACACAUGCAAGUCGUACGAGAAAGGGUCCUUCGGGGCCUGAGUAAAGUGGCGCACGGGUGAGUAACGUGUGGAUAAUCUGCCCUUCAGUUGGGAGUAACUCAUCGAAAGGUGGGCUAAUACCGAAUAAUGCUGUGAGACCUCGGUUGAUCAGCCAAAGAGAGCCUCUGCUUGCAAGCCCUCGCUGAAGGAUGAGUCCGCGUACCAUUAGCUAGUUGGUAGGGUAAUGGCCUACCAAGGCGACGAUGGUUAGCUGGUCUGAGAGGAUGAUCAACCACACUGGAACUGAGACACGGUCCAGACUCCUACGGGAGGCAGCAGUGAGGAAUCUUGCGCAAUGGGGGCAACCCUGACGCAGCAACGCCGCGUGAGUGAGGAAGGUCUUCGGAUCGUAAAGCUCUGUCGGAUGGAAAGAACCGCAUAGGGGUAAACAGCCCCUGUGUCUGACGGUACCAUCAAAGGAAGCACCGGCUAACUCCGUGCCAGCCGCCGCGGUAACAC